rnacentral:lncRNA from 10 species
CCUCUGCCCCGCCGCCCUGUCUGGGAUGUGAGGAGCGCCUCUGCUGGGCCGCAACCCUGUCUGGGAGGUGAGGAGCGUCUCUGCCCGGCUGCCCCGUCUGAGAAGUGAGGAAACCCUCUGCCUAGCAACCGCCCCGUCUGAGAAGUGAGGAGCCCCUCCGUCCGGCAGCCACCCCGUCUGGGAAGUGAGGAGCCCCUCCGCCUGGCAGCCACCCCGUCUGGAAAGGUUGAGUUCUGGCCACUGAUUUGCUGAGUGACCUUUGACAAAUCGCUGUACCUUGCUGGUCUCCUAAAUGGGGUGACCAUGGGAGCAGAUUCUCCACGUUCUGGACUUGGCACUCUUCUCAUCUGACUGCACAGUAUGUUUUGGGGUUCUCAUCUACCACCACCCAGGGCUGAUGGCUCCCAAAUCUAAGUUCUGGCCCAGACUCCUUUCCCCAGGUCCACACUCAUGUGUUCAACCAGUUGUUGGACAAUUCCUCUGGGCUUUCCCAAAGGCCCCAAAUUAAACUAAUCUUCUUCUUGUUUAAAUCAAACAAAUUUAAACAAAUUAAAUUAAUUUUCCCUGCAAACCUCUUCCGCUUCCUUUUUAUGCCAUGUCUUGGGGAAUCACAUCACCAUGUCAGGAAUCUUAUGUCAUUCCUUCCUCCCCUACCUUUGCACCUGAGAUCCUAGUGGUCACCAAGUCCCUUCUCUCCUGUGCAUCCCCCUCCUUGUAUUCCCACCACUACUGCCCUAGUUGGCACCUCAUUAAUUCCCACUGGAAUCACUGCAAAUGCUUCAUAACUGAUCUUUCUAUCUGACUUCAUUCUCCACACAUCCUGCAGCAUGAACUUUUUGAAGCACAGAUUUGUGAAUGCCUGUGCUCUGCUUAAAAGCAAUCAGAGGCCCCUCACUAAUAAGGAAUGAAAUUCAAACUCCUGG